AAAUUGAAGAGUUUGAUCAUAGCUCAGAUUGAACGCUGGCGGCAGGCCUAACACAUGCAAGUCGAGCGGUAGCACAGAGAGCUUGCUCUCGGGUGACGAGCGGCGGACGGGUGAGUAAUGUCUGGGAAACUGCCUGAUGGAGGGGGAUAACUACUGGAAACGGUAGCUAAUACCGCAUAAUGUCGCAAGACCAAAGUGGGGGACCUUCGGGCCUCAUGCCAUCAGAUGUGCCCAGAUGGGAUUAGCUAGUAGGUGGGGUAACGGCUCACCUAGGCGACGAUCCCUAGCUGGUCUGAGAGGAUGACCAGCCACACUGGAACUGAGACACGGUCCAGACUCCUACGGGAGGCAGCAGUGGGGAAUAUUGCACAAUGGGCGCAAGCCUGAUGCAGCCAUGCCGCGUGUGUGAAGAAGGCCUUCGGGUUGUAAAGCACUUUCAGCGGGGAGGAAGGCGUUAAGGUUAAUAACCUUGGCGAUUGACGUUACCCGCAGAAGAAGCACCGGCUAACUCCGUGCCAGCAGCCGCGGUAAUACGGAGGGUGCAAGCGUUAAUCGGAAUUACUGGGCGUAAAGCGCACGCAGGCGGUCUGUCAAGUCGGAUGUGAAAUCCCCGGGCUCAACCUGGGAACUGCAUUCGAAACUGGCAGGCUAGAGUCUUGUAGAGGGGGGUAGAAUUCCAGGUGUAGCGGUGAAAUGCGUAGAGAUCUGGAGGAAUACCGGUGGCGAAGGCGGCCCCCUGGACAAAGACUGACGCUCAGGUGCGAAAGCGUGGGGAGCAAACAGGAUUAGAUACCCUGGUAGUCCACGCCGUAAACGAUGUCGAUUUGGAGGUUGUGCCCUUGAGGCGUGGCUUCCGGAGCUAACGCGUUAAAUCGACCGCCUGGGGAGUACGGCCGCAAGGUUAAAACUCAAAUGAAUUGACGGGGGCCCGCACAAGCGGUGGAGCAUGUGGUUUAAUUCGAUGCAACGCGAAGAACCUUACCUGGUCUUGACAUCCACAGAACUUUCCAGAGAUGGAUUGGUGCCUUCGGGAACUGUGAGACAGGUGCUGCAUGGCUGUCGUCAGCUCGUGUUGUGAAAUGUUGGGUUAAGUCCCGCAACGAGCGCAACCCUUAUCCUUUGUUGCCAGCGGUCCGGCCGGGAACUCAAAGGAGACUGCCAGUGAUAAACUGGAGGAAGGUGGGGAUGACGUCAAGUCAUCAUGGCCCUUACGACCAGGGCUACACACGUGCUACAAUGGCAUAUACAAAGAGAAGCGACCUCGCGAGAGCAAGCGGACCUCAUAAAGUAUGUCGUAGUCCGGAUUGGAGUCUGCAACUCGACUCCAUGAAGUCGGAAUCGCUAGUAAUCGUAGAUCAGAAUGCUACGGUGAAUACGUUCCCGGGCCUUGUACACACCGCCCGUCACACCAUGGGAGUGGGUUGCAAAAGAAGUAGGUAGCUUAACCUUCGGGAGGGCGCUUACCACUUUGUGAUUCAUGACUGGGGUGAAGUCGUAACAAGGUAACCGUAGGGGAACCUGCGGUUGGAUCACCUCCUUACCUUAAAGAA
rnacentral:rRNA from 1 species